rnacentral:misc_RNA from 1 species
CCCUGUGCCCCGCCUACGCUGUACAUCGUGGAAUGGCAGCGGUCUGAGCGACCUCAAACGGGGCUGGUUGGCCCGACUCCUAUGCGAAUCCUCGGUACAAAUCUGUCUUCCGCAAGAGAAGCGUUUACAUCCCCACAGAUCUGCACGGCACGUGGUCCCCCGGGGUUUUCGGCGCCCUGGCGUGGCAAGCUCGGGGGGGGGUGGCGGCGGUGGCGCCCCAGUGCGCAUACGAGGGGGCCGGCGUAUGGGCGUGCCCCCUAUUCCAAAGGACGAAAUUGCAGCAGCGGCCGCCUGGCUUUGCUGCGGCGACCCCGCUGGGCGGAUGUAGCGGACGUCCGGCUACAUACUCGGGGGCGCCCUUGCCACGCUGGAAGCCCCGGACCGAAUGCAAAGCGCUGUGGCGCCCGGUCCCCGCGUUGCCUGGGGUGGGGCGGGGAAAACGACUCGGCCGGGCCAGAACCACCCCGCGCGGGCUAUCCGGUGACGCGCGCCUGGCAUGGGCAAACGGUGGGGACACCCCCGCGGCACAGCGCAGGCGGAGCCACGGGGACGGCGCCGCGGCACAGCGCAGGCGGAGCCACGGGGACGGCGCCGCGGCACCGGGCGACCACCGCACGGGCACGUUCGCUGCCAGCAACGACUGACACCCCCAUGGCGCCCUUUCCGAAAAUUUAACGGAAGACCGCACCGCGCCCGCAUCGGCGAACCGACCCGCAAAACGCCGUGCCCACCGCAGCGGCGAGGAAGCGAAGACGCGCGAGCAUCAGAGUGCCGCACGGACCCCGAGCACCAAGACAACUCGAAAACGCGCCAUGGAGGGAAGCGAAAUCUCCCACGCAGCCACACCCACCGCAAGACCGCAGCACCACCACAGACACACGCACACAACCACAAAGUAUAACCGAAGUAUGGAGCAAUGUUGGCAUCUGCUUGCGGCAGCCGCCGGGAAUGCCGCCCCACCCGGCACACCCGCUUAUAGACGAUUGCGGGGGUCAAAACUGGCGCGACGGGCAGCCGCUCGUGGGAGGGUGCCCUGCAACGCCCUCGCCCUCGGCCAUGGGCGUGCGUGCGGGCCGCCCGUGCGCCCGCGCGCUGCUCACACCAGCGGCGGGACAAGGUAACACCCACCCCGGCGUGGAAGAGCAGGCAAACAUCUUGACAAAGAUGCGCCAGCGGGCGCCGGCGCGACAUCCCGCCGCCCCCCCCCCCUCCCCACCGUUCCUGCGGCACUGACCCGUGGUCUGCGCAACCCACAUGAGUAACGGACCUCGCGACGACUGCGCGACCAUCUGGGAGACAAGCUCCAGCCACGGCAGCCUGGCUUCCGUCCCCGCCGCUCCGCUGCAGACCGCGCGGGCUUGCUCUCCCGCACGGCGGCCCAGCACCAGCCAGGCGCCACGAUAGGGGCGGCGUUUGUGGACUCGACGCUCACGCCUUUGGCUCGGUUGGUCGCGGCACUGAAGAAGUUCGGCUUAGACCCACACCAUGCUGUGGGAUGCCGCGGCGGAGGGAAAAACAUGGCAUGCAUGCCGAGCGCAGGGUCUGGGAAGGCCCUGGCCUGCGGCUGGCCGGCUUCCUCGCUGAGCUGAUCCGGCAUGCGCCUGCGCCACCGCCUGGUUACCCGCACGACGGGCGCCACCGCUUCCGCCCUCGGUCAGGGGCGUGGGUGUGGCCUGCGUGGGUCGGGGCGUGCGGCCCGCCGGGUGUCCGUGUGGCGCUGAUCGCGCGGCGCGUAUCGGAAGAAGGGACGAGGACGGGCAAGAAGGGCUUGCUAGCCGCAUGACCCCAUUCGACUGCCGACGGCUCGCUCUGGUCGACCAGAGUUUAGCUGCAGUGCGACCGAGGCAGGUGAGCCGUGGCUGUGUGUUUGCGUGUAUAUGUUCUGAUUUGUUCGCGGGUGGAGUUAUGGGCACGUUGCUGUGCAGCGGAAGAAAAGGCGAAAAGACAUACGAUGCCGGGCGUGACAGUGUUGCGUGUGUGUGUCUUGUGCGGUAUUCCAUCUGUGUAAGGUACGCUGCCUAUCAUUUUCGCUGUCGUUGCGUUUCUUUCGCCUCAUCUGUAUCAUUGUUGCGGUAGUGCAUGUUAUCUCGAAUGUGUCUGUGUGUGUCGAUGUGGAGAUGAGGUGUCAGGGUGCGCAAGCAGGGAUUAAGUGAAGGUAUGCGUGGCUGCAAGCAUCUCUAUCUGUGUGUGCGUUUCCGCAACAUAGCAGGUGAGAGGCAGCGCAUCGAACAUCAAAGAGAUCAACCGUCGCAUGCGCAUGAACGUGGAGAAGGAAGUCAGGGUAAGGGCGAGACAGGUCGAACCUAAAGGAGGUCCGUUUGUACACAAAACCUCCUCUCCCCAACGUAUCCUACGUCUGUACGUGCGUGCUUAGGUGUGUACGAAGGCAUUCCACCAACACCAUAUUCCAUCUGCACGGUCAUCUCUACGCUCUUCACUUUUCCUUGUCUCCUUCCCAAUCUCGCGACCGCCAACCUCUAUUUCUCUUCGCCUUUGAUGGCGGUGAUGUACUCUCUCUCUCUCUGAGUCUGCCCACGUAUGCGCACGCGUGUGUGUGCGCGCGUGCCUAUGUCUGUUUGUGCAUGUGUGUGGCGGGU